UACGUAGGUGACAAGCGUUGUCCGGAUUUACUGGGCGUAAAGAGCGCGCAGGCGGUCGUCAAGUCGGGUGUGAAAGCCCCGGGCUCAACCUGGGAAUUGCAUUCGAGACUGCAUUGCUGGAGUACGGAAGAGGAAGGCGGAAGUUCCCGGUGGUAGCGGUGAAAUGCGUAGAUGUGGGAGGAACAUCAAGUGGCGAAGGGCGGCCUCUGG
rnacentral:rRNA from 1 species